CUGCGGAAGGAUCAUUAUAGUAUUCUAUUGCCAGCGCUUAAUUGCGCGGCGAUAAACCUUACACACAUUGUCUAGUUUUUUUGAACUUUGCUUUGGGUGCAUCAGCCUAGCUGCGUGCCCAAAGGUCUAAACACAUUUUUUUAAUGUUAAAACCUUUAACCAUUAGUCAUGAAAAUUUUUAACAAAAAUUAAAAUCUUCAAAACUUUCAACAACGGAUCUCUUGGUUCUCGCAACGAUGAAGAACGCAGCGAAAUGCGAUACGUAUUGUGAAUUGCAGAUUUUCGUGAAUCAUCGAAUCUUUGAACGCACAUUGCACCCUCUGGUAUUCCAGAGGGUAUGCCUGUUUGAGCGUCAUUUCUCUCUCAAACCUUCGGGUUUGGUAUUGAGUGAUACUCUGUCAAGGGUUAACUUGAAAUAUUGACUUAGCAAGAGUGUACUAAUAAGCAGUCUUUCUGAAAUAAUGUAUUAGGUUCUUCCAACUCGUUAUAUCAGCUAGGCAGGUUUAGAAGUAUUUUAGGCUCGGCUUAACAACAAUAAACUAAAAGUUUGACCUCAAAUCAGGUAGGACUACCCGCUGAACUUAAGCAUAUCAAUAAG
rnacentral:rRNA from 1 species